UUACUUUUAAAUAUAUUUUAGAUUAAGAAUUAAAAUUAAUAUGUUUACAAGUAAUAAUAAAAAUAUAAUUAGAUGAAAGCAUGAGUAUUUUAGGUAUUUGUAUUAUUACAAAUCAUUUGGAUGGAGAUUAGAGAUAAGCAAACGAACAACAUCUCAUUCGGAUGAUCCAGUCAAAUGAACCGACUAAAAAUGAAACAAACAAGAGUCGGAUGAAUCAUCUAGAUAGACAUGUUGAAUCGAUCAGUUGGAUGAAUCUGUCAAAUGGAGAAAUGAACAGGCCUUAUAAUGUUUCUAUCCUCAAU
rnacentral:sRNA from 1 species